AUGAAGAAGCUUGGAGUUGACAGGUGGUGCUUCCAUGACAGGGACAUCGCCCCUGAUGGGAAAACAUUUCCGCACAAGGAAUAUGGGCAUGCUAUGAUUACUUUGGUGGAGACAUAUUUAAGAAUGGUGUUAUCACUGAAUGCCCUUGAUGUCUGCCAAGAAGAAGGGAGCAAGCGGCAGAAGAUUAUGAUAUUGCUGCUAUUGGGAGAUGCAGUAAAAUGUGGACAAGUUCCUGUAUUUUAUGGAAGGUGUAGUAUUGAAGCUUCUUGCACUGAUCUAGAAUGGAUCUUGACUUCGCCCAAGAGUGAGUCUCCUUUUCAUUCGAGCGGGGCGAUGAGGGAAAGAACUGGUUGUGGUGAAAGUCAGUUUAGUUUAUCAAAGAUUGGAGGUUCUGAGAUUUGCAAGAGGUGA
rnacentral:rRNA from 1 species